rnacentral:rRNA from 1 species
UACGUAGGGUCCAAGCGUUGUCCGGAUUUACUGGGCGUAAAGCGUGCGCAGGCGGCUUUGCAAGACAGAUGUGAAAUCCCCGGACUCAACCUGGGAACUGCAUUUGUGACUGCAAGGCUAGAGUACGGUAGAGGGGGAUGGAAUUCCGCGUGUAGCAGUGAAAUGCGUAGAUAUGCGGAGGAACACCGAUGGCGAAGGCAAUCCCCUGGACCUGUACUGACGCUCAUGCACGAAAGCGUGGGGAGCAAACAGG